rnacentral:rRNA from 1 species
AACGAACGCUGGCGGCAUGGAUUAGGCAUGCAAGUCGAACGCAGUAGCAAUACUGAGUGGCGAAAGGGUGAGGAACGCGUGAGUAAUCUGCCCCCAAGUUGGGAAUAACAGUUGGAAACGACUGCUAAUACCGAAUGUGGCUAAAAGAUCGCAUGAUCUUUUGGCUAAAGAUUUAUCGCUUGGGGAUGAGCUCGCGUCCCAUUAGUUAGUUGGUGAGGUAACGGCUCACCAAGACGAUGAUGGGUAGCUGGUCUGAGAGGAUGGUCAGCCACACUGGGACUGAGACACUGCCCAGACUCCUACGGGAGGCUGCAGUCGAGAAUCUUGGGCAAUGCGCGAAAGCGUGACCCAGCAAUGCCGCGUGAAGGAAGAAGGCUUUCGGGUUGUAAACUUCUUUUACCAGGGACGAAGGACGUGACGGUACCUGGAGAAAAAGCAACGGCUAACUACGUG